GGAUUAGAUACCCUAUUAUUUUGAAUGUAAAUUGUGGAACUAAAGUAGUAAUAGUUAAGAUCUUGAAACUUAAAGAAUUUGGCGGUAUUUUAGUCUAUUUAGAGGAAUCUGUCCCUUAAUCGAUAGUCCACGUUGAACCUUACUUAAUUUAAUGGUAUGUAUACCGCCGUUGUUGAAAAUCCUUAUAGGGUAAUUUCUGGGUUUUUUAAUAGUAAAAAUUUCAGGUCAAGGUGCAACUUAUGUUUAAGUGGAGAUGGGUUACAUUGUUAGCAAGCAAACGAAUAUUUAAGUUAAAAAUUAAUUGAAGGUGGAUUUAAUUGUAAAUUUGUGAAGAUUUUCAGAUUGAUUAAAGCUCUAAAAUGUGCACACAUCGCCCGUCACUCUCGUUAUUUAAGAUGAGAUAAGUC
rnacentral:rRNA from 1 species